GUUCCCGUUCGCCCACUAGGUGCAGUGGAUUAGCUUUACUAUCUCGCACCUGUCCCACAGCCACCACGUUUCAGCCGAGUUAGACUCGUCAAACUUGGGGGCACUAAGUCCGAAGCGGCCAAGCCGGUGGGGCGUGAAGUGGGGCUCCCCCGCCCGUGGUACCGACUAAGAUUUUGGUUGACGUCGGUAGGUCAAUCCGAGACUGCGUCUCUCCCACUAUUUUGG